rnacentral:rRNA from 1 species
GGGUUGUGAGGUUAAGCGACUAAGCGUACACGGUGGAUGCCCUGGCAGUCAGAGGCGAUGAAGGACGUGCUAAUCUGCGAUAAGCGUCGGUAAGGUGAUAUGAACCGUUAUAACCGGCGAUUUCCGAAUGGGGAAACCCAGUGUGAUUCGUCACACUAUCAUUAACUGAAUCCAUAGGUUAAUGAGGCGAACCGGGGGAACUGAAACAUCUAAGUACCCCGAGGAAAAGAAAUCAACCGAGAUUCCCCCAGUAGCGGCGAGCGAACGGGGAGCAGCCCAGAGCCUGAAUCAGUGUGUGUGUUAGUGGAAGCGUCUGGAAAGGCGCGCGAUACAGGGUGACAGCCCCGUACACAAAAAUGCACAUGCUGUGAGCUCGAUGAGUAGGGCGGGACACGUGGUAUCCUGUCUGAAUAUGGGGGGACCAUCCUCCAAGGCUAAAUACUCCUGACUGACCGAUAGUGAACCAGUACCGUGAGGGAAAGGCGAAAAGAACCCCGGCGAGGGGAGUGAAAAAGAACCUGAAACCGUGUACGUACAAGCAGUGGGAGCCUCUUUAUGGGGUGACUGCGUACCUUUUGUAUAAUGGGUCAGCGACUUAUAUUCUGUAGCAAGGUUAACCGAAUAGGGGAGCCGAAGGGAAACCGAGUCUUAACUGGGCGUUAAGUUGCAGGGUAUAGACCCGAAACCCGGUGAUCUAGCCAUGGGCAGGUUGAAGGUUGGGUAACACUAACUGGAGGACCGAACCGACUAAUGUUGAAAAAUUAGCGGAUGACUUGUGGCUGGGGGUGAAAGGCCAAUCAAACCGGGAGAUAGCUGGUUCUCCCCGAAAGCUAUUUAGGUAGCGCCUCGUGAAUUCAUCUCCGGGGGUAGAGCACUGUUUCGGCAAGGGGGUCAUCCCGACUUACCAACCCGAUGCAAACUGCGAAUACCGGAGAAUGUUAUCACGGGAGACACACGGCGGGUGCUAACGUCCGUCGUGAAGAGGGAAACAACCCAGACCGCCAGCUAAGGUCCCAAAGUCAUGGUUAAGUGGGAAACGAUGUGGGAAGGCCCAGACAGCCAGGAUGUUGGCUUAGAAGCAGCCAUCAUUUAAAGAAAGCGUAAUAGCUCACUGGUCGAGUCGGCCUGCGCGGAAGAUGUAACGGGGCUAAACCAUGCACCGAAGCUGCGGCAGCGACACUAUGUGUUGUUGGGUAGGGGAGCGUUCUGUAAGCCUGCGAAGGUGUACUGUGAGGUAUGCUGGAGGUAUCAGAAGUGCGAAUGCUGACAUAAGUAACGAUAAAGCGGGUGAAAAGCCCGCUCGCCGGAAGACCAAGGGUUCCUGUCCAACGUUAAUCGGGGCAGGGUGAGUCGACCCCUAAGGCGAGGCCGAAAGGCGUAGUCGAUGGGAAACAGGUUAAUAUUCCUGUACUUGGUGUUACUGCGAAGGGGGGACGGAGAAGGCUAUGUUGGCCGGGCGACGGUUGUCCCGGUUUAAGCGUGUAGGCUGGUUUUCCAGGCAAAUCCGGAAAAUCAAGGCUGAGGCGUGAUGACGAGGCACUACGGUGCUGAAGCAACAAAUGCCCUGCUUCCAGGAAAAGCCUCUAAGCAUCAGGUAACAUCAAAUCGUACCCCAAACCGACACAGGUGGUCAGGUAGAGAAUACCAAGGCGCUUGAGAGAACUCGGGUGAAGGAACUAGGCAAAAUGGUGCCGUAACUUCGGGAGAAGGCACGCUGAUAUGUAGGUGAAGUCCCUCGCGGAUGGAGCUGAAAUCAGUCGAAGAUACCAGCUGGCUGCAACUGUUUAUUAAAAACACAGCACUGUGCAAACACGAAAGUGGACGUAUACGGUGUGACGCCUGCCCGGUGCCGGAAGGUUAAUUGAUGGGGUUAGCGGUAACGCGAAGCUCUUGAUCGAAGCCCCGGUAAACGGCGGCCGUAACUAUAACGGUCCUAAGGUAGCGAAAUUCCUUGUCGGGUAAGUUCCGACCUGCACGAAUGGCGUAAUGAUGGCCAGGCUGUCUCCACCCGAGACUCAGUGAAAUUGAACUCGCUGUGAAGAUGCAGUGUACCCGCGGCAAGACGGAAAGACCCCGUGAACCUUUACUAUAGCUUGACACUGAACAUUGAGCCUUGAUGUGUAGGAUAGGUGGGAGGCUUUGAAGUGUGGACGCCAGUCUGCAUGGAGCCGACCUUGAAAUACCACCCUUUAAUGUUUGAUGUUCUAACGUUGGCCCCUAAUCGGGGUUGCGGACAGUGUCUGGUGGGUAGUUUGACUGGGGCGGUCUCCUCCUAAAGAGUAACGGAGGAGCACGAAGGUUGGCUAAUCCUGGUCGGACAUCAGGAGGUUAGUGCAAUGGCAUAAGCCAGCUUGACUGCGAGCGUGACGGCGCGAGCAGGUGCGAAAGCAGGUCAUAGUGAUCCGGUGGUUCUGAAUGGAAGGGCCAUCGCUCAACGGAUAAAAGGUACUCCGGGGAUAACAGGCUGAUACCGCCCAAGAGUUCAUAUCGACGGCGGUGUUUGGCACCUCGAUGUCGGCUCAUCACAUCCUGGGGCUGAAGUAGGUCCCAAGGGUAUGGCUGUUCGCCAUUUAAAGUGGUACGCGAGCUGGGUUUAGAACGUCGUGAGACAGUUCGGUCCCUAUCUGCCGUGGGCGCUGGAGAACUGAGGGGGGCUGCUCCUAGUACGAGAGGACCGGAGUGGACGCAUCACUGGUGUUCGGGUUGUCAUGCCAAUGGCACUGCCCGGUAGCUAAAUGCGGAAGAGAUAAGUGCUGAAAGCAUCUAAGCACGAAACUUGCCCCGAGAUGAGUUCUCCCUGACUCCCUGAGAGUCCUGAAGGAACGUUGAAGACGACGACGUUGAUAGGCCGGGUGUGUAAGCGCAGCGAUGCGUUGAGCUAACCGGUACUAAUGAACCGUGAGGCUUAACCUUACAACGCCGAAGCUGUU